rnacentral:rRNA from 1 species
UACGGAGGGUGCAAGCGUUGCUCGGAAUUAUUGGGCGUAAAGGGUAGGUAGGUGGUCUUAUUUGUCUGGGGUGAAAGCCUUGAGCUUAACUCAAGAAGUGCCCCAGAAACGGUAAGACUAGAGUCCUGGAGAGGGUCGUGGAAUUCCCGGUGUAGCGGUGAAAUGCGUAGAGAUCGGGAGGAACACCGGUGGCGAAGGCGGGUCUCUGGGCAAUUCCUGACGCUGAGGCGCGAAAGCGUGGGGAGCAAACGGG